UUUAUGGAGAGUUUGAUCCUGGCUCAGGAUGAACGCUGGCGGCGUGCCUAAUACAUGCAAGUCGAGCGAACGGACGAGAAGCUUGCUUCUCUGAUGUUAGCGGCGGACGGGUGAGUAACACGUGGAUAACCUACCUAUAAGACUGGGAUAACUUCGGGAAACCGGAGCUAAUACCGGAUAAUAUUUUGAACCACAUGGUUCAAAA
rnacentral:rRNA from 1 species